UACGAAGGGGGCUAGCGUUGUUCGGAAUUACUGGGCGUAAAGCGUGCGCAGGCGGCUGCUCAAGUCAGGGGUGAAAGCCCAGAGCUCAACUCUGGAAUUGCCUUUGAGACUGAGUGGCUUGAGUACGGGAGAGGUGAGUGGAAUUCCCAGUGUAGAGGUGAAAUUCGUAGAUAUUCGGAAGAACACCAGUGGCGAAGGCGACUUACUGGACACAUAUUGACGCUGAGGUGCGAAAGCGUGGGGAGCAAACAGG
rnacentral:rRNA from 1 species